CCCGAGAGCCCGCCUACACGUGGUGACGUCAGAGUAGCCGGAAUUGCCAGAGUUUUCUGUCGUCACUGAGAGGCAGUCUUUGAAGAAAGAUGUCAGCUGGAAGGAUGGACACCAGCUGGAUACCAGCCUUGCCAAGGAAGACGUCACUUCCAGAGUUUGCACACACCAACCGAGGCUUCACCCUCCUUUCACUGAAGCAAGAGGAAUUUGUCACCAGAUGCAGCAGUAAGGAUCUACACAAUCUGAAGAUUUCUACUCUGAGAUGGGUCAGCGUACCCCGGCAAGCAGUGGAUGGAAGGAAGGGAAACACCGUGAACAGGGAGGGAUUAACUCGGGGGAGAAGAUUCAGAUCAUAACUCACCUCAGCCGAACCCCAUUCAAUCACCGUUUUUCCAG